AUUGAACGCUGGCGGCAGGCCUAACACAUGCAAGUCGAACGAGCGGCGGACGGGUGAGUAAUGUAUGGGGAUCUGCCCGAUGGAGGGGGAUAACUACGGGAAACUGUGGCUAAUACCGCAUACUAUAGGAUGAGCCCAUAUGGGAUUAGCUAGUUGGUGGGGUAAAGGCUCACCAAGGCGACGAUCUCUAGCUGGUCUGAGAGGAUGACCAGCCACACUGGGACUGAGACACGGCCCAGACUCCUACGGGAGGCAGCAGUGGGGAAUAUUGCACAAUGGGCGCAAGCCUGAUGCAGCCAUGCCGCGUGUAUGAAGAAGGCCUUAGGGUUGUAAAGUACUUUCAGCGGGGAGGCGUUAACUGCAGAAGAAGCACCGGCUAACUCCGUGCCAGCAGCCGCGGUAAUAC
rnacentral:rRNA from 1 species